GGGUGAUUAGCUCAGCUGGGAGAGCACCUCCCUUACAAGGAGGGGGUCGGCGGUUUCGAUCCCGUCAUCACCCACCA
rnacentral:tRNA from 2 species